rnacentral:rRNA from 1 species
CAGCAGCCGCGGUAAAACGGAAGGUCCAGGCGUUGUCCGGAUUUAUUGGGUUUAAAGGGAGUGUAGGCGGUCUGUUAAGCGUGUUGUGAAAUUUAGGUGCUCAACAUCUAACUUGCAGCGCGAACUGGCGGACUUGAGUGCACGCAACGUAUGCGGAAUUCAUGGUGUAGCGGUGAAAUGCUUAGAUAUCAUGACGAACUCCGAUUGCGAAGGCAGCGUACGGGAGUGUUACUGACGCUUAAGCUCGAAGGUGCGGGUAUCGAACAGGAUUAGAUACCCCGGUAGUCCAUGUCUCUUAUAC